rfam:Triticum aestivum genome assembly, contig: Triticum_aestivum_CS42_TGACv1_scaffold_343792_4DL
AUUAUACUCCCUCCGACCGAAAAUACUUGUCCUAGAAAUGAUUGUAUCUAGACUUUUUUUAGUUAUAGAUACAUCCAUUUUAUUCAUUUCUAGGACAAGUAUUUUCGAACGGAGGGGGUAUAUU